GGCAGCAGCGUUAUUGACGGGACGAUGCAUUUGAAAGAGAGGGAAGUAAUAGUGGCUAAAUUCCCAGAGUGCCGCGGCGAGCUUCCGAGCAGAGACGGUGGUGGUAGGUAGUGUUUGGUGGUUGUGAAAAAUGGUAGCACCACCACCACUACUACUACAACAGUGUUUGUUAUUAAUAUUAUUAUUGUGACUAAAAAGCCAAAGUUUAGUAGAAGAAGAGGGUAAUGGAGUAGAAGGUGCUUUAUUUUUCCUUUUCCCUACCAAUAAUACCUCUCUCCUCAACUUUUCUCCUAAAUUUUCCUUCUUUUCCGCUUCUCUUUCCACACUUUUCAUCAUUCCCUAGGUGGUGGUAGGUAGUGUUUGGUGGUUGUGAAAAAUGGUAGCACCACCACCACUACUACUACAACAGUGUUUGUUAUUAAUAUUAUUAUUGUGACUAAAAAGCCAAAGUUUAGUAGAAGAAGAGGGUAAUGGAGUAGAAGGUGCUUUAUUUUUCCUUUUCCCUACCAAUAAUACCUCUCUCCUCAACUUUUCUCCUAAAUUUUCCUUCUUUUCCGCUUCUCUUUCCACACUUUUCAUCAUGCCCUACACUUUCAAACCCUUUUAUUUAUGGCUGCCUUCUGCUUUUCUUUUAUCUCUCUCAUUAACUAGUUUUACUCUUUUACAUUUUUCUUUUCUUUUUUGUUGGCUGCUUUAUUUACACGUGGGUUUUGCAACACAGUAUACCGGAGAAUGGUGAUGAUUAGGUAAU
rnacentral:lncRNA from 1 species